UUGGUCUCUCCGACAUCACCACACUUGAGAUCUCCAACCCCCUCUUCCUUUCUAUUUAUAAAAACUUUAAAAGGGCGGUUGUCGAUGCAUAUGUCUAUAAUAAAUAUUGCAGAUCUCAUUGAGUUGAUCUUGAUAUAGGUCAGCGUUGGAAGGGAAACCACUUCGCCGACAUAAAUUGAUGGUUUCCCAAGGACAAGCUUGGUGUCCUAAAAUAAGCACUGAUC
rnacentral:lncRNA from 1 species